CUCGGGAAACAUCGAGGUUUUCAACGUCGAUGUUCGAUGUUUCCUCUUUAUCCAUGACUUUGAAAACUUUGAAAGAUUUCGAGAAAUAUUUGUGUUGGCGGCGCUUCGAUAUGGAGAAUAAGACUUUGAAAGAGCAGAACAGCAAUGGUAAUUAGACCGCCUGAUAUCGAGUAUAACUAUCGGUAUCGAUAUAUGCACAAUCGAAUGUAUCGGUUAACAGUAGCGAAUACACACACCCUCUGAUAGCCGAUGCACCCACCCGACAUACCGUUUCAAGAUGGUGUAUUCGCUACUGCUACACGCCUUAUAUCUUUCAAUCAGCCCAUUGAACAACUUCUUUUCCCCCUUUCAAUCAAGUUGUUCAACUUGAACUUGUUUUAAACGCAAUUCGAUAAAUUUUAUUUAUAAUUAAAUCAUGGUUUCGUUAACAUUAAUUACAAUUAUUUAAAAAUUAGGCGUGGCUGCUGUUGUUGUUUUCUUUUGUUUUUUUCGUUUUUCGAUUUGUAUGAUCAAGAGAAUGUUUUUAAUUGAAUGUGAAAUUUGCGGUUUUGUUUUUUUUCUGCCGUUUAUGAGUCUGCAUAUGUGCCAUGCAAGUGUGUGGGUGCGCAUAUGAGUACGAGUCUUUGAGUGCAGCUGCGUGUGUGUGUGUUAGCGGUUCGAAUCGGCGUGGCAGUGGCUUUAAUUAUAUAUUUUCACCGUUUACGGCUUAAAUCCUGGCUUGGCGAUUAUUCAAAAAACUGAGAGUUAAAAAGUACAAACUGAUGGGUGAACUGGCUAUCCUGGCCGAGAGUUGGCUAUCAGAGAGAUACAGAUACAAAACGGGCGUAUCACACAAAAAAGCGUUCGAACAAAGUCAUAAACACAUGUCAUAAUAUGGUAGGUGCAUGAAACACGAAGAUAUCACAAACAAUU